UACAGAGGGGCGAGCGUUGUUCGGAAUUACUGGGCGUAAAGGGCGCGUAGGCGGCCUGCUAAGUCGGACGUGAAAUCCCUCGGCUCAACCGGGGAACUGCGUCCGAUACUGGUUGGCUUGAAUUCGGGAGAGGGAUGCGGAAUUCCAGGUGUAGCGGUGAAAUGCGUAGAUAUCUGGAGGAACACCGGUGGCGAAGGCGGCAUCCUGGACCGAGAUUGACGCUGAUGCGCGAAAGCCAGGGGAGCAAACGGG
rnacentral:rRNA from 1 species